GCUAAAGUGGAAAAGAAAGAAAUGCAAUUGAUUAAGAAAAGGGUAAUUUUCUAGUUAUUUUUAUGGCUAUAUAACAUCUAUCCUCAUUCACUUUCCUUUGUUCUCUUCUAUUACACUUUGUCUGUUUUCAUCUCUUAAUUGCAGUGUGGAAUACAAUGUCUCGUAUGCGUACCACUCGAUGUUUGCCUAUUUCAACAGGGACAAUGUUGCUCUCAAGGGCCUUGCCAAGUACUAAAACAAACAGAUUAAUACCACAACUAUAUAUGUUCAUCAUCAUCUACAGUCUUUAUGGGAAUUAUUAGGUUUUUCAAGGAGUGAAGUGAAGAAGAAAGGGAACUUGCCCAAAAGUUGAUGAAAUACUAGCGUGGUGGAAGAGUGAAGUUGCACACUAUAUUGACGUCGCCUUCAGAAUUUGAUCAUGUUGAGAAGGGUGAUGCAUUAUAUGUUCAGCAGUGGAACUAGCAUUGUCCUUGGAGAAGUUGACAAAUGAGAAGCUUUUGCUGUUACACAGUGUGGCUUCGCGAAACAACGAUCCUCAGAUGACCGACUUCAUUGAGAGCGAGUUUCUUACUGAAUAGGCAAAAUGAGAAACCCAUAUCUUCAGUCAUGUUCAUCAAAAUCUCUACUUUUGUUGUUAACAUGGAAGGGAGUACCUGUAAAGCCAAAGCUACCAGCUGAGAUGGUUCACUAAGAUUCUGGGUUGAAGCCAUUAAGAAAAUUGCAGAGUUUGUGAGUCAGUUGAGAAGGGUUGGGAAAGGACACGGUAUAAACAAAUCAUGUUCCAGUUUCACUCUUAGUAAUCAAUAUCUGAUUUUUCUCUCUCUUGUGAUUGCCACUGCAGUCGUGUCAUCCUAUACAAAAAUUUCAUCUUCUAGCACUAAGAGUGGUGGUUUUUGCACACGGGUGUGGUGGCACUUUGAUCAGAUGCUGCCACACAAGGAUAAUGGUGCAUUCUGAAGAUUCAUCUAUUUCUGCUCUGGAUAAGAUCUAUGCCUUUAUGGCUUUUCUUAAGGUAGUGUUCGUUACAAAGCUUAUGUUAAUAGAGAUGGUGUGAGUAAUCAAGCUAUUAGCAUAUUGUAUUCAUCAAUUACUAGCAACUUUAUCAAAACUACUAAUG